rnacentral:rRNA from 1 species
AACGAACGCUGGCGGCAUGCCUAACACAUGCAAGUCGAACGAGACCUUCGGGUCUAGUGGCGCACGGGUGCGUAACGCGUGGGAACCUGCCCUUAGGAUCGGAUUCACUCCCCGAAAGGGGUGCUAAUACCGGCUAAUUUCUUCGGACUAAAGGUUUGUCGCCUUUGGAUGGGCCCGCGUUGGAUUAGCUGGUUGGUAGGGUAAAAGCCUACCAAGGCGACGAUCCAUAGCUGGUCUGAGAGGAUGAGCAGCCACACUGGGACUGAGACACGGCCCAGACUCCUACGGGAGGCAGCAGUGGGUAAUAUUGGACAAUGGGCGAAAGCCUGAACCAGCAAUGCCGCGUGAGUGAUGAAGGCCUUAGGGUUGUAAAGCUCUUUUAUACGGGAUGAGAAUGACAGUACCGGGAGAAUAAGCACCGGCUAACUCCGUG